ncrna:Caenorhabditis brenneri microRNA cbn-mir-47 precursor
AAGGGAGCUUUCUGGUGACAGUUCGAUUUUGAACUCUUACUGUCAUGGAGGCGCUCUCUUCA